rnacentral:rRNA from 1 species
GAUGAACGCUGGCGGCGUGCCUAAUACAUGCAAGUCGAGCGAACAGACGAGGAGCUUGCUCCUCUGACGUUAGCGGCGGACGGGUGCGUAACACGUGGUUAACCUACCUAUACGACUGGGAUAACUUCGGGAAAUCGGAGCUAAUACCGGAUAAUUUAUUGAACCGCAUGGUUCAAUAGUGAAAGACGGUUUUGCUGUCACUUAUAGAUGGAUCCGCGCCGCAUUAGUUUGUUGGUAGGGUAACGGCUUACCAAGGCAACGAUGCGUAGCCGACCUGAGAGGGUGGUUAGCCACAUUGUAGCUGAGACACGUUCCACACUCCUACGGGAGGCCGCCGUCGGGAAUCUUCCGCAAUGGGGCAAAGCUUGACGGAGCAAAGCGGCGUGAGUGAUGAAGGUCUUCGGAUCCUAAAACGCUGUUAGUAGGAAAGAACAAAUGUGUAAGUAACUAUGCACGUCUUGACGGUACCGGAUGAGAAAGCCACGGCUAACUCCGUG